GCCGCCGCCACCCCUGUCCAUUCCCUACCUUUCUUCCUCGGUAUCCCCUUAUUCCUCCCAGAUCCAAUCCACCAGCCACUGCUCUCCAUCGCAUCACAACAUCGACCAACCACCGCACAGCCAGCCACCUCCCUGACCCAGCGCUCGAUCCAGAUGGGAUUGAGGCAACCACCGGUGUCCUCCUCGACGCCUCCCCUCGCGUUGUGCCGCCAGCCUCCUCUCCGGCCAGUCCCGUCCCCUGCUCCUACCCUUCGCCAUGGCCGCCCUGAGCUCCAGCCAUGGACAGCCGCUGCCGGAGCUCGUCUUCCCCGCCGUCGGCUAGAGCCCUAGGCCAGUGACCCAAGCCUCUUCCUUCCUUCCCUUUUCCCUCACGCACUCUCUUCCUCCUCCAUGACCUCUCUAUCUUCCUUGACGCCAUGGAAAGGAGCACUCAACCGUGGUACAGUCGACUCCGGUCCGUCCAGCGACCUCCGUGCCUCGUCGCCGAUCAGAUUCGUGCCUCCUCCGUCGUUUCCCACGCCGGACCCCGCUACUGCCUCCCCUGCUUCUGCUGCGCGAGGACGACGACGCAUCCAGCAAGCGCCCGCUCAUCCCAGCCACGUUGACCGCCUCCCUCCGAACUCACCGGCGUCACCACGGAGCUUCCCCGACCUCUCCUUCACUCUGACCCACGUCUCUGGUGGCCUUGUCGUCGUCGUCACCUAGGAGCUCGUCCGUUUCCCGAGAUCUCCACCGACCGCGCCCUUCGACGGGAACCACGUCGUCCGGCUCGUCCCGCCUCCUGCGGGCCUCCCCGUCGCCUGCCGGAGUUCCUGCUGCCGCCAUCGUCGUUCGAGGCUAGUGCCUCUGCUUCGAACCAGGGUGCCGACGCCUCCAGCGCCUGCGUUGACCGAGCACAGCCUAGCCGACCCAGUUCGCCUCUGCCUCACAGGGCCAAGCCCAUGGUUGCAGGUACAGGUAAUGCGGUGAUCUCACGUGAGAGCGAGGCUUGAUUGCUUUUGGAGUUCUUCUUCUUCGAUCAAGGGAUAGGUUCCGGGUCGAGGAGCCUGGGCUAGCAGGGUGGAUGUCGUUCUUCCAUUUCGUUUGAUUUCAUACGUAGUCGGAUCCUGCUCUUCUGUAUGACGAUUGCUAUGUAUUGAUGAACUAUUGUAUUCAUGAUGUAGCUUGUGGCGAGUGUAAGCCUUUAUCUUGUAUUCUCACCUAUUCAGUACAUGGUAUGUGUAAUAAUAUCCACCUUGCUAUGCGCUCGAAAUGCGGUUGUGCCUCAAUCAUGAAUUCAUCACGUGAUUGGGAUAGAAUCGCAUCUUGGGUGUUACACCUGAGCACAGAUGCCGUGCCAGUCCUUAAUCAUGAGGCGGUCGUGGGUCGGCUCACAAGGGCAUACGACCUUCAUGGCGAUGAAGCACCGGGCAAACAGACGAUAAUCAUAAAGCAACUCAUGGAGUAAGGUAAAGCCAGUUCUGAUAGACGCAAGAAGGAUGCAUGCCACAAGGACGGACCCAUACGGCUUGGGGAUGAUGCAGCCCGAGGGGCACCCCCAACUGAACAAACCAAGAGAUGUCACCUGGCACCGUUGCUAAAGAGGUAUUGGAGUAGCCGGAGACGCGUGCUGCAGAAGUUGCUCCUCAUGAGUCGCCCAGGCCCUUAACCUCGGGAGGCUCUGGAGGCCUGGGGGCUCGCGAGAAUCCGUCGCCGUCUCCGCCAGGAUCGCCUGGUGCCUGGCCUGCUGAGCCGCUAGGAUGCCCCACAUGUGGCGCUGGUGCAUGACAGCCCUGCUCAGGAGACCGGAAGGCAUGGGAACGUAGCUGUGAGGGGGACCCUCACGCCGGCUAACGCGGGACGGCCAGAAGAGCCUCUGAGACGUGGUCCUGUUGAGCCCAGGGAUGUUGAUGCAGGUGCGUAGCUCACUAUCCUCGCCGGGGCAGGGAGCUGCACCGGGUGAUGGGCGACAGUCGCCCCGCAUAGCUCUCGCCUCCUGAAGCUCCUCGAUUACCUUGGUGAUGAACUCCUGAGCAUCUGGCGCCUUGCGCUCCGUGCUUUCCUCAUGGAAGCACGCGUUGAAGCAUGCCUCCACAUGGUGCCCGAGCGCCUCCCUCGAGACGUUGGCCAGGUCUGAGGCUCUCCAGAGGAAAGCCCCCGAGCCCAUCCUGGAGGGGCGCCGGGCGCGCCUUCCUAUGCAAAAGAGGAAGGCACCCCAUCAGUGGGCGCAGGGCUUGAGGCAGCGCCGCUGGACGCCCCGCCCUCCUAAGGUCCUUGGCGAAGCAACUUCUUCUUCUUGGGUGUGUCCUAAGGAGGGUAGACAGCGCCCUUGAUACGUCUCCAACAUAUCUAUAAUUUUUUAUUGUUCCAUGCUAAUAUAUUAUCUGUUUUGGAUGUUUAAUGGGCUUUAAUAUGCACUUUUUAUUAUUUUUGGGACUAACCUAUUAAC